CACGGAAGUAAGGAUGAGAACUGGUGAUGUUUGUGUGCUGUCCGCCAAUUCAUCGUUCAGUCCCAAAGAGAAAUCAGCUGUAAAUUGCACUGUGCCAGAGGUACCUUUGUAAAAGACUUCAGACGGUUGGGGCCUAAGGAAGCCCUGUGAACACUCCCCAGCCCGGAGCCGGGAGGACUAACCAGCGCCUGGCAACUUAACAAGAGACAAUCCCAGGAACCCAUCAGUAGCCACCACAAGCCCGCUGGGCAUAUCCAUCACAUCCCUCUCUCUAAGGGUGGUGGGUUCUGGGACUUCAUCUGGACUCUUGAGCCUGGGACUAAGGGGUGCCCCACAUCGGAUUCACAAAUAGAGCUGGCUCACCCUCCUCUGUUACACAUACAGCCCAUGCCACCCUCAGAUCCCUUUCAUCCAAUGAAUGGCUCAUAUACUAAGGACCCAGGGACAGGGAAAUUCGAGGAAAAAAAGCGGAGGUGGGCACCGCCUGGGGGUUCUCAGAUUACCCGGCAAAAGUGCUCCUUGUCCUGCGCGGUUCAACCGCCACUGCCAGCAGAGCCUCCCGGCGCCUCUUGCCCGACCCGGCAGCAGACUCAGCGCCACAUCCGGAUAGCCUAGCGACCGAGUCCCGUCCGGUCAUCGGAGGCCUCCUGGGAAGUGGAGUCCUGGGGCCAUCCUCGCCGCCUGCAAGUCACAGGAUCCUAAAGGACACCUCCCGGUAAUCGAGGAUUACUUAGAUCCUGACCCCAGGACCAGUUUCUUGGUUUGAGGGUCCCUCGGCCUCGCCUUCCCCUUGGCAAAAGAGAGGAUGGGAGGCAGAAAGAGAAACGUGGAUCAGCUGCCUCCUGCACGCCCCCUACUGGGGAUCAAACCCACAACCUGAGCAUGUGCCCUGACCAGAACUGAACCUAUAACCUCUGUGCAUGGAAGGACGCUUAACCAAUUCAGCCACAGCUGGCCAAGGCCAGUAUGCACUUUUAAUAACAGCUUUAUUAAGAUCUAAUUCACAUACCAUACAACUCCGCCAUUUAAAUUGUACAAUUCAGCCGAAACCGGUUUGGCUCAGUGGAUAGAGUGUUGGCCUGUGGACUGAAGGGUCCCAGGUUCGAUUCCGGUCAAGGGCAUGUACCUUGGUUGCAGGCACAUCCCCAGUAGGAGAUGUGCAGGAGGCAGCUGAUCGAUGUUUCUCUCUCAUCGAUGUUUCUAACUCUCUAUCUCUCUC